UCCCCCCUACACAUGGCCUCCAUGCAGGCUCAGUCAGACAGGGCAAAUGGACAAAGCUGUGUGCCCUUGAGCUAUGCUGAAGAUUCAGUUUAUGGGGGAACACCUCUACAUGGCCCACCAAGCUCCGCCCCAGAUGUGACAUCACAAAUGGUGCUCUUAUGCGGUGGAUAUGUUGCUGUUAUGACUGGACAAUUCACGGUAGGGAAAGUGUUCCGAGGGUAAAUGUUUCUCGUAAGUGGUGAUUGCUCUUAUAAGGUGUUGCUGCAAACAAGCAUCUAAUGUAACAUGAAAUCAGAGGAGGCACUCUGACUUCCAGCAAUCGAUGCACAGCUUGACAACUGUUGCACCCAAAGCUGUUACUUACAUUAGCAUGUGCUAUAGUUUGUGUUUGCCCGAGUUGUGCACAAACUUUCAAAACAAUGGUGAGAAAUGGGGCUGGAGCAGUGAAGUAAAUGUUUCUUGGUUUUAUUUAAUCGUUUCUAGUGAUGCUGGAUUUCCUCUUUGUGUAUUCUGUAUAAACUUUUGUUAAUUGUCUAUUUCUCUUGCUUUGCAUAGUGAAGGAGUUUAUGGAGGAGCAAAUUUUUAUUUUAUUGAUAGCAUAACAACUGGGAGUUGCUGCUAUGAAGAGCCUUUAUGUGCUUUGACUUUUACCUGGGCUCCAAGUCUCUAUGCAUGACCAGAAAUAAAUUUUCCUUGCUCUGCUGUUUUCCUGAACCUCAGUUGUUGGACAUCUACUGCUGUGGAUCCAAUUUGUUAUCACACCUACUUAGAGGCAGCCAUAUUGUUUGUAAUUUCCCCCCACUGCUAUUUUGAGUUCACCCAUCUGAUAGAGCUGAAGCUGAUGCUGCACAUGCCAAGCUGAACAUUUUUAUCUUAACCAGGAGCAGUGGUUCAUGUACCUGCCAGCACAGGAUGCUUCAAGGGGAAUGUCAACUCAGGGGAUGUAUUAGGGAACUGAACUGGGUUGACCUAUGGAGGAACUUGGUAGCUGCACUUGUGCAGCAAAGAGAUGGAGACAGAAAGACUGAGAAAGAGAAGGUUGCUGGUGGAACUGAAGUGGUAGCAUUACACAACAGUGAAAGUGUCUAUCUCUUUCCUUUUAUUAAUCCUACUGGUGGCUUUUCUAAGAACCCGGGAAACUCUUUUUCCAACAAUCAAGACUGCAAAAUCAGCCAAUUUCUUUAGAUGACCCCUCACCUUCCAAUUCCUCCUUCUGUAUUGGCUCAACUGCUGUCU